AAGGGUAUAGCUCAAAGUGGUAGCGCGCAUGCUUAGCAUGCAUGAGGUCCUGGGUUCAAUCCCCAGUACCUCCU
rnacentral:tRNA from 1 species